rnacentral:rRNA from 1 species
UACGUAGGGUGCAAGCGUUGUCCGGAAUUAUUGGGCGUAAAGAGCUCGUAGGCGGCUAGUCACGUCGGAUGUGAAAACCCGAGGCUCAACCUCGGGCCUGCAUUCGAUACGGGCUGGCUAGAGUACUGCAGGGGAGACUGGAAUUCCUGGUGUAGCGGUGAAAUGCGCAGAUAUCAGGAGGAACACCUGCGGCGAAGGCGGGUUGCUGGGCUGACACUGACGCUGAUGCGCGAAAGCGUAGGGGAGCGAAGCGGG